UUUUCAAAUUUACUUUGGCUAUUUGGGGUCUUCUGUGCUUCCAUACAAAUUUUAUGAUUGUUUGUUCUAGCUCUCUGAAAAGUGCUGUUGGUACUUGGAUAAGGAAUGACAUUAA